AGACGAACCGUCCAAACGUUAUUCGGUAUCACUGGGCUUAAAGAGUUCGUAGGCGGCCAUGUAGGUCAGGUGUGAAAUCCCACAGCUCAACUGUGGAACUGCGCUUGAAACCACAUGACUUGAGGAAGAUAGAGGUGAGCGGAACAGAUGGUGGAGCGGUGAAAUGCGUUGAUAUUAUCUGGAACACCGGUGGCGAAGGCGGCUCACUGGAUCUUUUCUGACGCUGAGGAACGAAAGCUAGGGUAGCGAACGGGAUUAGAUACCCCGGUAGUCCUAGCCGUAAACGAUGAGCACUAGUCCGUGGGGACCCUCACAUCUUCUCGGACGUAGCGAUAGUGUUAAGUGCUCCGCCUGGGGAGUAUGGUCGCAAGGCUGAA
rnacentral:rRNA from 1 species